rnacentral:lncRNA from 1 species
CUAGACUUUCUAAUCUAACUGGAGGUUGAGAUUUUCCUCUGUAAAAUUACAGUUUUAUCACUUUGAUGCUACCAAACGAGAGACCAACUGGGUUCUUAUUCCAAUCCUGUCAAUUGUUGUCUCUCGAUGCUUCCCAAACCUGUCAAUUGUUUUCUCUCGAUGCUUCUCAAACCUGUCAAUUGUUGUCUCUCGAUGCUUCCCAAACGUGUCAAUUGUUGUCUCUCGAUGCUUCUCAAACCUGUCAAGUGUUUUCUCUCGAUGCUUCUCAAACCUGUCAAUUGUUGUCUCUCGAUGCUUCCCAAACGUGUCAAUUGUUGUCUCUCGAUGCUUCUCAAACCUGUCAAGUGUUUUCUCUUGAUGCUUCCCAAACCCCCAAAUGUAGUGUAUCACUGCAUGAGCUGUUGAUGGCUUGAUUGAAGCCAUCCUGGCCUGGGAGAGCUUGAGGCACUCUGUAGCCAUUCUGAUUCUGGUCUCACUGGCCUUGAGAUGAUAUAUUAAAGAUGACCUGUAGGAUGAAUCCCCCAGACACUGGGCCUGGUCCACCACAGCAACAGAGGGAGAGGGACUGAGAUGUGAUUCUCAUCUUCUCAUUGGCAUAUUGGGGUAGUGGGUAGCAUGUUGACGAGGUGACUGGCUGACUGGUUGGAGGGGUGACCAGGUGGAGGGGUGACCAGGUGGAGAGGUGACCGGGUGAAGGGUUGACCAGGUGGAGAGGUGACCGGGUGGAGAGGUGACCGGGUGGAGGGUUGACCGGGUGGAGGGGUGACCGGGUGGAGGGGUGACCGGGUGGAGGGGUGACCGGGUGGAGGGUUGACCGGGUGGAGGGGUGACCGGGUGGAGGGUUGACCGGGUGGAGGGGUGACCGGGUGGAGAGGUGACCGGGUGGAGGGGUGACCGGGUGGAGAGGUGACCGGGUGGAGAGGUGACCAGGUGGAGGGUUCACCAGGUGGAGGGGUGACCACGUGACUGGCUGACUGACAUCCCAAAUGGCAUCCUAUUCCAUAGGGCCCUGCUCAAAACUAGUGCACUAAAUAGGGAAUAGGGUGCCAUUUGGGAUGUCGCCUGGGGGAAAUCUACAACACAGAGAGAUGCAUGUAAUUAAUAUAAUUAUUAACCAUGGGGAAAUAUCUAUAUUUUUUUAAGCAGUACAUUUAGGCUUAUUGCAAAAGUUUCAACAAUACAAUGAUAUGCACAGCACGAAUUGCAAACUUGUAGUGCAGUUUUGAAAAGGCUUCUAAAGAAUGUAAUUUCAAUUUUGAAAUUUCAGACUUCAUUUGCCCUAACUAAAAAUGUAUCAAUCCCUACAAAAAUGGCCAUUAAUUAUAACUGAAGAACCUACAUGUGUAACUGAUUAAAACCCUGAUAUUUGAAUGGUACCUCAAGGAUUGCCAAUGGAAACACAUUUAAGUCAAACUUGAGUUUCCAACAACCAGAGAGAGCUAUGUGUUUGUUAGUCAUGCCUUAAAGGUUAGAGAGUUGAUUACAGUACCUACCAUAUUGGACAAGCCAGGAUACCCUAUACUCUGAGAGACAAGCCAGGAUACCCUCUACUCUGAGAGACAAGCCAGGAUACCCUCUACUCUGAGAGACAAGUCAGGAUACCCUCUACUCUGAGAGACAAGCCAGGAUACCCUCUACUCUGAGAGACAAGCCAGGAUACCCUCUACUCUGAGAGACAAGUCAGGAUACCCUCUACUCUGAGAGACAAGCCAGGAUACCCUCUACUCUGAGAGACAAGCCAGGAUACCCUCUACUCUGAGAGACAAUGACUCUGCUGCCCUCCUUUGGCUAGGGACAGUCACUGUUUAUAUUUUUUAACAUUUAUUUAACUAGGCAAGUCAGUUAAGAACAAAUUAUUAUUUACAAUGAAUGACAGAGCCUACUCCAGCCAAACCCGGACAACGCUAGGACAAUUAUACACCACCCUAUGGGAAUCCUAAUCACAGCCAGAUGUGAUACAGCCUGGAAUCGAACCAGGUCCUGCAGUGAGAUGCAGUGUCUUAGACCGCUGUGUCACUCGGGAGCCCUGUUCCAGCUCAUAGCGGGUUGAUGUUCUCCAGUUUGGGCCCGAACUCCUUGAAGUCCGGUCUGUCUGCAGGGUUGUCACGCCAACAGCUGAGCAUGAGUUUGUAGAGGAAGUCUGGCUAUUUAUCUGGAGCCAGCAAGGAUCUGACUGGACACCUUUUGUUUGUUUCUUUAGC